AUGACAACGAAGGAAACCAAAACGUCUCAGGUCACCAUCACCCUCAUCAACAUCAUCACCUCCAUCAAAGGAAGAUGGCCAUUUGGCAACUUUACAAGAAAACUGACUGGCCAAAACACCAAAAUGGGUUCAUCGACUCCCUUCCAGACACCUAACAGAACCCCCCCCAUCAGCGGUCACAAGACCAAAGAGGACAGAUGCCAUCAGAGCUGGGAUGGCAUCAAAUUUGAGGCAAGAAUUGGAGGUCAGACUAGAAACAGACUGUCAUCAAAGGCCAUCUUACACUGAACUAACAACAGUUAGUUGGAGGCCAAACGAGGCACAUCAUCCAACUCCACGGCCUGAUGAUGGACUGGACUUUCCCGAAUGUGAGCUAUUUAAUCCUAUUACAUUGUUUGGGUCUAUGGGAUCAGUUUUAUCGACGUUUUCUAAAAGAAACAUGGAAUUAACGUACUAGUUAAGGCUUAGUAAUAUAGUUAUGAAACUUAUCACAAUUUAAUGUUUCAUAUCACUUGGUAUUUGUAAUUAUUUGUAAUAAAUAUGUUAUAAGAAGUUUUUAUAACCUUUUU
ensembl:lncRNA